rnacentral:rRNA from 1 species
CCUACGGGAGGCAGCAGUAGGGAAUUUUUCACAAUGGGCGAAAGCCUGAUGGAGCAACGCCGCGUGCAGGAUGAAGGCCUUCGGGUUGUAAACUGCUUUUAUAAGCGAGAAAUAUGAUGGUAACUUAUGAAUAAGGAUCGGCUAACUACGUGCCAGAAGCCGCGGUCAUACGUAGGAUCCGAGCAUUAUCCGGAGUGACUGGGUGUAAAGAGUUGCGUAGGUGGCAUAAUAAGUAGCUAGUGAAAUCGGGUGGCUCAACCAUUCAGACUAUUAGCUAAACUGUUAAGCUCGAGACCGUUAGGGGUAACUGGAAUUUCUAGUGUAGGAGUGAAAUCCGUAGAUAUUAGAAGGAACACCAAUAGCGUAGGCAGGUUACUGGGACGGUUCUGACACUAAGGCACGAAAGCGUAGGGAGCAAACGGGAUUAGAUACCCGUGUAGUC